rnacentral:misc_RNA from 1 species
GAUGAAGAACGUAGCGAAAUGCGAUAAGUAAUGCGAAUUGCAGAAUUCCAGUGAGUCAUCGAAUCUUUGAACGCACAUUGCGCCCGCCAGCAUUCUGGCGGGCAUGCCUGUUCGAGCGUCAUUUCAACCCUCGACCUCCCUUUGGGGAAGUCGGCGUUGGGGACCGGCAGCACACCGCCGGCCCUGAAAUGGAGUGGCGGCCCGUCCGCGGCGACCUCUGCGUAGUAAUCCAACUCGCACCGGAACCCCGACGCGGCCACGCCGUAAAACACCCAACUUCUGAACGUUGACCUCGAAUCAGGUAGGACUACCCGCUGAACUUAAGCAUAUCAAUAAGCGGAGGA